rnacentral:rRNA from 1 species
GAUGAACGCUGGCGGCGUGCCUAAUACAUGCAAGUCGAGCGAACAGACGAGGAGCUUGCUCCUCGGACGUUAGCGGCGGACGGGUGAGUAACACGUGGAUAACCUACCUAUAAGACUGGGAUAACUUCGGGAAACCGGAGAUAAUAGCGUAGAAUAUAUUGAUCCGCAGGGGUCAAUGGUGAAAGACGGUGGUUGGGGAACGUAUAGAUGGAUCUGCGCCGCAUUAGCUAGUUGGUAAGGUAACGGCUUACCAAGGCAACGAUGCGUAGCCGACCUGAGAGGGUGAUCGGCCACACUGGAACUGAGACACGGUCCAGACUCCUACGGGAGGCAGCAGUAGGGAAUCUUCCGCAAUGGGCGAAAGCCUGACGGAGCAACGCCGCGUGAGUGAUGAAGGUCUUCGGAUCGUAAAACUCUGUUAUUAGGGAAGAACAAAUGUGUAAGUAACUAUGCACGUCUUGACGGUACCUAAUCAGAAAGCCACGGCUAACUACGUG